UACGUAGGGUGCAAGCGUUGUCCGGAAUUAUUGGGCGUAAAGAGCUCGUAGGCGGUCUGUCGCGUCGGCUGUGAAAACUCGGGGCUCAACUCCGAGCCUGCAGUCGAUACGGGCAGACUAGAGUGCUGUAGGGGAGACUGGAAUUCCUGGUGUAGCGGUGAAAUGCGCAGAUAUCAGGAGGAACACCGAUGGCGGAAGGCAGGUCUCUGGGCCACUACUGACGCUGAGAAGCGAAAGCAUGGGGGAGCGAACAGG
rnacentral:rRNA from 1 species